CGAGAAAAAAACUAAAAAAUCUAAACUAAUACACACAACCUUAAAUAUAUCAUUUAAACCUAAAUCAUAAACACAAAACUCAAACCCCAAACUCAAAUACAAAAGUACUAUAAUAUAACUAAAAACUAAGAUCUACUCUUUAUGAAAACUAAUAAAUGUAUUAAUCUAUUUUCGAAUAUUAAUCUAUUUUUUCGAAUAUUAAUCUCAAACCUUAGGCUUCCAAAUCUCAAACCUUAAUUAUAAAGUUUAACCCUUAUAAACUUUAUAUAGAGAAGUUAACUCUAGUCAUUUUAAUUAUAAAUCCAACUAUUUAUUUUUGAAAACCUUAACCAUAAACUUUAAUCUUAAACCCCAUUUUAAUCAUAAAUUUAUUUCAUGAUUGGAGGUUAUUCCGCUCUUGUCCAUCUCUUUGAUAGUAAUCAAUAAACAUCAUUAGCCAGAAAAAUAUUAGCAAUCCCCCUCCCCUCUCCCCCAAACCCUAUGUAUACCCUAAACUCAAAACCCAAUUAUCAAAACCCAAAACCAUAUUCCCA
rnacentral:lncRNA from 1 species